rnacentral:rRNA from 1 species
GAGUUUGAUCCUGGCUCAGGAUGAACGCUAGCGAGAUGCCUAACACAUGCAAGUCGAACGACCCUUCGGGGGAGUGGCAAACGGGCGAGUAACGCGUACUUAACCUGCCCCAAAGUUGAGGCCAACUAUAGAGAUAUAGCUAAUCCUCAAUAUUCUCAUAAGAAUGAAAAUAUUAUGAGCAAAGAUUUAUCGCUUUGGGAGGGGGGUGCGUCCUAUCAGGUAGUUGGUAAGGUAAUGGCUUACCAAGCCUAUGACGGGUACCCGGUCUGACAGGAUGUCCGGCCGCAAUGGGACUGAGACACGGCCCAUAAUCUUACGGGGGGCAGCAUUGGGGAAUUUUGCGCAAUGGGACGAAAGUCUGACGCAGCAAUCUCGCGUGGAGGAUGACGCAUUACGGUGUGUAAACUCCUUUUCUGGUGGAAGACGACUGACUGUACACCAGGAAUAAGGGACGGCUAACUACGUGCCAGCAGCCGCGGUAAUACGUAGGUCCCAAGUGUUAUCCGGAAUUACUGGGCGUAAAGAGUCUGUAGCCGGAUAUGUAAGUCUGUUUUCAAAUUCCCCGACUUAAUCGGGGGCAGGGGAUGGAUACUGCAUAUCUAGAGAUUAUUAGGGGUUAGUGGAAUUUCCGGUGGAGCGGUGAAAUGCGUUGAUAUCGGAAGGAACGACGAAAGCGAAAGCAGCUAACUAUAAUAAAUCUGACGGUCAGAGACGAAAGCUUGGGGAGCAAACGGGAUUAGAUACCCCGGUAGUCCAAGCUGUAAAUGAUGCAUGCUAGGUGUUUUGGACCCUCGUGGUCUGGAGUGCCGUAAUCUAACGAGUUAAGCAUGCCGCCUGGGUAGUAUAUUCGCAAGAAUGAAACUCAAAGGGAUAGGCGGGGGCACAC